rnacentral:lncRNA from 1 species
UUUACGAGUAGUCUGAAUUGGGUUAUUUCUCGGAAGUGUCCAAAAGUGUUGACCGUUUCUUCUGUUCCAAGGAGGUGGGAACGGGGGGAAAAAGCUCCCCCACUACACACACAUACAUGGAAAGAGGAAGGUACACAAUUAGGACGAUCGAAAAAUCUCAAAAAUCGAACUCAAUUGCGUAUACUUGCUUAUUAGCUUUUUCAAAACCAUACACUGGUCUUCUCCUUUCCCCUUCCAGGAAAAAGAGAAAGGGAACAGACCAAAAAUGUAUGAUUGGGAUUUCUGGUAGCUAAUUAAUACUUUUUCAAUAUUUUUUUUCUCAAAAAAAGUUUAAAGAAGAAUUCGCAAGGAAUGAAACAAAAAAGGGGAGAAAAAUCAAACCAUGUGGGAACAAAAUUUUAGACAAACAUUGUAACCACAUGUUUGGUCCUUUUCCCUCUUUGUGUCUUCUUUAUUGGCAGCAUCUCAGACCUUCCUUCCUGUUAUGAAAAAAUUACACAACAUAGGGAUAAA